CAGUCGCCGCGGUAAUACGUAGGGUGCGAGCGUUGUCCGGAAUUACUGGGCGUAAAGAGCUCGUAGGUGGUUUGUCGCGUUGUUCGUGUAAACUCACAGCUUAACUGUGGGCGUGCGGGCGAUACGGGCAGACUAGAGUACUGCAGGGGAGACUGGAAUUCCUGGUGUAGCGGUGGAAUGCGCAGAUAUCAGGAGGAACACCGGUGGCGAAGGCGGGUCUCUGGGCAGUAACUGACGCAGAGGAGCGAAAGCGUGGGGAGCAAACAGGAUUAGAUACCCCUGUAGUCCCUGUCUCUUAUAC
rnacentral:rRNA from 1 species